AUAGGGGACUGCGGGACAUCUCCGCCUCUUCCUUGGCUCUGGGCCUUCGAUGUAAGGCGUUAGAGGACAAUCUUUGUUGGCUGGAUUUCUGUUCUUCCCCUAGAGAUAUCUGGUUCUUUGGAGGCCACUUGGGCAAUUGGGUGAGUAGUUUUAAAUGUCUCCCUUGGGAUGCCAAAUAAGAAAACGACCAAUGUCGAUGUGGCUCCCUCUCUUUCAGCACAGACAACCCAUCAGACUGGAAUAUUAUUAGUCUACGUAUGUGGAAGGGGGUGUUAUGGGGAGUAAAAUAGAAUCCAAGAGUGAAGGACUUGGCCCAAAAAGGACUGUUGAGAUUGUUCUAAAGAAACUGGUCGGGCGCAGUGGCUCACGCCUUAAAUCUGGCUCCAGAGUUUGUGCUCUUAGCCAAGCAUCUGAGGAUGGAGAGAGGAG
rnacentral:lncRNA from 1 species